rnacentral:rRNA from 1 species
AUGAGCAUAAAGAUGCUUAUUUCUCUUCACCUAGAGGGUGUGUCUUGGUCCAUUCUUCCACCUUUUGGGCAGUUAUUGCAUCUCAGAUCACUCACAUUGAUUCACAUUUCUACACUUGUUCAGAUCAGACCAGGCAUUGUUGGGGUUACGGCUAGAAGUUUUAUGCAGUUGAAGGAGAUUGUUCUUGAUUCUUUGUCAGAAUUUACUGAGUGGGUUGGGACACCUAAUGCCCAUUCAUUUUCAAUGCUUGAAAGAAUUGUUUGCAGAAAAUGUCCCAAUCUCUAUUCACUACCGUUCCUACAGGAUUGCCCUGCGGGCUCUUAUAACCAUAUGUUGAAACUUGAAAUUACUGGUUGCCCAAAGUUGCCUAUGCCAGUCAUGCCUCACACUUGCACACUAACUAAAGUUACUGUGUAUAGUAGGCGUACUGGGAAGAUGGUGUACGCCAACCAUAAUUUGUAUUUGACGAGGUAUAGCAGUGCAGUCGCCUGGCACAAUAUGGCCGGCAAAGUAUAG